CUCGGAUUCCGGUUUGUCUCGGUCCCGAGCGAGACACUGGUACAACGUUGUCUCGGGGAGAUUCCGUUUCCAAAUCUCGGUGUAAUCUCGGUUCAAACUUUUAUAUAUAUAAUUUGAUGGUUUAAUGGACAGAUUAUUACACUUCAUAUUACUGGAGCACUGAAUGCAGUGUUGUCUGCUGAGCAUAAACAAGAGAUGUGUCGUUGUCUUUACAAUCAUCAGAUGGGGGUUGGGGUCUACAUACUGAAGGACCAAGUACAAUGUUCGGUUCAUGCCUAAACUAUGUUACUAUGAGAUUGCUUGGAGAAGGAGCUGAUGAUGGAGAAGGGGCAAUG